AUCUAGCUGAUGAGUCCCAAACAGGACGUAACUCGCAUCCUAGAU
rnacentral:hammerhead_ribozyme from 1 species